GAGAGAAGUCCAAUCCAUUUAAAAGUUAUAAAAAAAAGAUAGCACACUUGACGAUCAUGCGUUAAAGUUGUUUUUUCUUCUUUUUUUUUUUUUUUUAUUUCAAAAACACCCCUUUUCAUAUACCUCUUUUUAAAAAUACCCUCUUUUCAAACAUUAUCAAAAACCUCACUAAAAAUAUUGAAAUUUAUCCAAAUAUGUGUGUAAACUUAUAAAUAUAUACACAAAUUAUCUUUAUAUGUGUAUAAAAUUUUAUAUACC
rnacentral:lncRNA from 1 species